rnacentral:rRNA from 1 species
ACGGGUGAGUAAUACAUCGGAACGUAUCCUGGAGUGGGGGAUAGCCCGGCGAAAGCCGGAUUAAUACCGCAUACGCUCUGAGGAGGAAAGCGGGGGACCUUCGGGCCUCGCGCUCAAGGGGCGGCCGAUGGCGGAUUAGGUAGUUGGUGGGGUAAAGGCCUACCAAGCCGACGAUCCGUAGCUGGUCUGAGAGGACGACCAGCCACACUGGGACUGAGACACGGCCCAGACUCCUACGGGAGGCAGCAGUGGGGAAUUUUGGACAAUGGGGGCAACCCUGAUCCAGCAAUGCCGCGUGUGUGAAUAAGGCCUUCGGGUUGUAAAGCACUUUUGUCCGGAAAGAAAUCAUCGGGGCCAAUACCCCUGGUGGAUGACGGUACCGGAAGAAUAAGCACCGGCUAACUACGUGCCAGCAGCCGCGGUAAUACGUAGGGUGCGAGCGUUAAUCGGAAUUACUGGGCGUAAAGCGUGCGCAGGCGGUGCUGUAAGACCGAUGUGAAAUCCCCGGGCUUAACCUGGGGACUGCAUUGGUGACUGCAGCGCUGGAGUAUGGCAGAGGGGGGUGGAAUUCCACGU